CGGACGGCUGAGUAAUGUAUAGGAAUCUGCCUUCUUCUGGGGGAUAGCUCGCCGAAAGGCGGGGUAAUACCCCAUGUGCUCUCACGAGGAAAGGACGUAACUGUUCGGAAGAAGAUGAGCCUGUAUUCUAUCAGAUAGUUGGUGGGGUUAAUGGCCUACCAAGUCAAUGACGGAUAGCUGAUCUAAGAGGAUGGACAGCCAGAGGGGUACUGAGACACGGACCCC
rnacentral:rRNA from 1 species